rnacentral:rRNA from 1 species
GACGAACGCUGGCGGCGGGCUUAACACAUGCAAGUCGAACGGAAAGGCCCUGCUUUUGUGUGGUGCUCGAGUGGCGAACGGGUGAGUAACACGUGAGUAACCUGCGCUUUACUUGGGGAUAACUUCAGGAAACUGGGGCUAAUACCGGAUAGGAGCUCCUGCUGCAUGGUGGGCGUUGGAAAGUUUCGUCGGUGGUGGAUGGACUCGCGGCUUAUCAGCUUGUUGGUGGGGUAGUGGCUUACCAAGGCUUUGACGGGUAGCCUGCCUGAGAGGGUGAACGGCCACCAUGGGACUGCGAGACGGACCAGUCUGCAAUGGGAGGCAGUAGUGGGGAAUCUUGCACAACGGGCGGACGUGUGAUGAAGAAAUGCUGCGUGCGGGAUGAAGGCUUUCGGGUUGUGAACCGCUUUAGCCUGUGACGAAGCGUGAGUGACGGUAAUGGGCAAAGAAGCACCGGCUAACUACGUG